rnacentral:rRNA from 1 species
GCUUAUGGCCAAACCGCCCUGAGAAUAUCUGAUCAUGUCCAAUCUCGGAAGCUAAGCAGAGUCUGGUUAUUAGUAUUGGAUGGGAAAUCAGCUGGCAAUACAAGUUGUUGGAAGCA